rnacentral:hammerhead_ribozyme from 1 species
GCACUGCUGACCAAUCCCAAACAGGACGAAACAGCUGUCCAGUGC